rnacentral:rRNA from 1 species
CCUACGGGUGGCAGCAGUGGGGAAUAUUGGACAAUGGGGGCAACCCUGAUCCAGCCAUGCCGCGUGUGUGAAGAAGGCCCUCGGGUUGUAAAGCACUUUCAGUGAGGAAGAACGCCUGGUGGUUAAUACCCAUCAGGAAAGACAUCACUCACAGAAGAAGCACCGGCUAACUCCGUGCCAGCAGCCGCGGUAAUACGGAGGGUGCGAGCGUUAAUCGGAAUUACUGGGCGUAAAGCGCGCGUAGGUGGCUGGAUAAGCCGGUUGUGAAAGCCCCGGGCUCAACCUGGGAACGGCAUCCGGAACUGUCAAGCUAGAGUGCAGGAGAGGAAGGUAGAAUUCCCGGUGUAGCGGUGAAAUGCGUAGAGAUCGGGAGGAAUACCAGUGGCGAAGGCGGCCUUCUGGACUGACACUGACACUGAGGUGCGAAAGCGUGGGUAGCAAACAGGAUUAGAUACCCCUGUAGUC